UAGGGGAGCGUUCUAAGGACAGUGAAGUCAGACCGGAAGGACUGGUGGAGUGCUUAGAAGUGAGAAUGCCGGUAUGAGUAGCGAAAGACGGGUGAGAAUCCCGUCCACCGAAUGCCUAAGGUUUCCUGAGGAAGGCUCGUCCGCUCAGGGUUAGUCAGGACCUAAGCCGAGGCCGACAGGCGUAGGCGAUGGACAACAGGUUGAUAUUCCUGUACCACCUCUUUAUCGUUUGAGCAAUG
rnacentral:rRNA from 1 species